rnacentral:rRNA from 1 species
AUUGAACGCUGGCGGCAUGCCUUACACAUGCAAGUCGAACGGCAGCACGGGAGCAAUCCUGGUGGCGAGUGGCGAACGGGUGAGUAAAGUAUCGGAACGUGCCCAGUCGUGGGGGAUAACGUAGCGAGAGUUACGCUAAUACCGCAUACGAUCUAUGGAUGAAAGCGGGGGAUCGCAAGACCUCGCGCGAUUGGAGCGGCCGAUAUCAGAUUAGGUAGUUGGUGGGGUAAAGGCUCACCAAGCCGACGAUCUGUAGCUGGUCUGAGAGGACGACCAGCCACACUGGGCCUGAGACACGGCCCAGACUCCUACGGGAGGCAGCAGUGGGGAAUUUUGGACAAUGGGCGAAAGCCUGAUCCAGCCAUGCCGCGUGCAGGAUGAAGGCCUUCGGGUUGUAAACUGCUUUUGUACGGAACGAAAAGGUUUGGGCUAAUAAGCUGAGCUCAUGACGGUACCGUAAGAAUAAGCACCGGCUAACUACGUGCCAGCAGCAGCCGCCGUAA